GACGAACGCUGGCGGCGGGCUUAACACAUGCAAGUCGAACGGAAAGGCCCUGCUUUUGUGGGGUGCUCGAGUGGCGAACGGGUGAGUAACACGUGAGUAACCUGGCCUUGGCUUUGGGAUAACUUCAGGAAACUGGGGCUAAUACCGGAUAGGAGCUCCUGCUGCAUGGUGGGGGUUGGAAAGUUUCGGCGGUUGGGGAUGGACUCGCGGCUUAUCAGCUUGUUGGUGGGGUAGUGGCUUACCAAGGCUUUGACGGGUAGCCGGCCUGGGAGGGUGACCGGCCACAUUGGGACUGAGAUACGGACCAGACUGCUACGGGAGGCAGCAGUGGGGAAUAUUGCACAAUGGGCGGACGCCUGAUGAAGAAACGCCGCGUGCGGGAUGACGGCCUUCGGGUUGUAAACCGCUUUAGCCUGUGACGAAGCGUGAGUGACGGUAAUGGGUAAAGAAGCACCGGCUAACUACGUG
rnacentral:rRNA from 1 species